GUGUUUGGUUUUCCUGACACGAAGAGAAAUUGUUUGGUUUGCCUUACGCGCAACGAUACCGACCCUACACCUCUUUGACCUUAUAUUUAAUUUUAACACGGCGUAGUGAUACAAUACGUCGUAUCUAUUUUUAUUAAAAAAAGGACGAGGAAUCCAUUGAUACUAUUAGUUUUUUCAUAGGUUAGACCAUUACGGAGCUAUAAAAAUUCAAAGUUGAAAAUGGCCGCGAUUUGGCUUAGGGUGUGCGACGACCCUGUUUUACUCUAUAUCUAUCAACUAUGCUAUGAUGAUUAUGAAAAUAAUCUAGAACUAGACCUAGACCAAAAAAGAGCGAAACAAAACUGAAAAAAAAAACCUGCGAAACUGAAUUAUGAAUGGAGAUUUCCAGGAGCUCCUGGUAAAUCAGGCGACCAUGAGAAAUGUAUUUUCUGGUCAUGAGGUGAACUACCACAUGAAAAGUAAAAUUGCCACAUGCAAGUCACAGUGAUAGUUACAAAUUUAGGCAUGGUCAAUGAUAUAAAUAGAUUUGGCAAUGGCAGGGGAAGCAAUCUUAGCAAUUUUUUUAACAUGUAUACAAAAAAUGUGUUAUUUGUAAAAAAAAAAAAAAAAAGUUAAA